ACGAACGCUGGCGGCGUGCUUAACACAUGCAAGUCGAACGGAAAGGCCCUGCUUUUGUGGGGUGCUCGAGUGGCGAACGGGUGAGUAACACGUGAGUAACCUGCCCUUGACUUUGGGAUAACUUCAGGAAACUGGGGCUAAUACCGGAUAGGAGCUCCUGCUGCAUGGUGGGGGUUGGAAAGUUUCGGCGGUUGGGGAUGGACUCGCGGCUUAUCAGCUUGUUGGUGGGGUAGUGGCUUACCAAGGCUUUGACGGGUAGCCGGCCUGAGAGGGUGACCGGCCACAUUGGGACUGAGAUACGGCCCAGACUCCUACGGGGGGCAGCAGUGGGGAAUAUUGCACAAUGGGCGGAAGCCUGAUGCAGCAACGCCGCGUGCGGGAUGACGGCCUUCGGGUUGUAAACCGCUUUCGCCUGUGACGAAGCGUGAGUGACGGUAAUGGGUAAAGAAGCACCGGCUAACUACGUGC
rnacentral:rRNA from 1 species